UUAUGCCAGAUAAAAUUUUGGUCACUGUCAUCAAGUUGGCCAGACCUUGUUAAAGUUAAACAACAACUAGGCAGAAGACUUCUUGUUUUAAAUUUAAGAGUACAGAAAAUCAGUCUAAAAAAAUCAAGCUCACGUCCAUGCUAGUUCCUGAUACAUCUCACUACUUUCAUCAUGACCACUGCAACUCUCUGUGCCCAGAGCAGCCGGCAUUACCAAGUCCAAGUUCUAGAGUCUGCAAGUGCAUCCCUCUGUUCUACCACACAAUCAUGACAGGAUUGGUGCAAGAGCCUUCUCUUCCGUUGAUGCCACCAUUUGAAACAGACAUCCUACAUUUUGGUGCCUCGUCAACUUUCCAUCUACUUCCAAAUCUCAUCUGCAAAUGUCUCUUGCAAUUGUUUCUUAAAUCUGCUUUCCAAUUGCUAUUAAUUUUACAUUUUACUUUACCACCACUAGUUAAUGCUUAAAUCAUUUUCUAGAUCAUAUUAAAAAUUUUGUAGAAACUAGAAAUUACACUAGAAUCAAUGAAGUUAGAAAUAAAAAGGGCCAACAGAAAAGUUGGGUGCAUACGACCCCAGAAGCUGGCUACAGUACUCUGACAGAGGCUGAAUUGGAUAUUAAAGCAAUGCUACUGAAUGGAAAACAUACAGGGGGAAAAUGCAGUCGGCAUGCACUUUCUAUUACAGUGAGCAGUUGUCACUGUGCAGUACCAACCUCUAUUACAAAGUGAGGGCCUCUGAGUGGACUGACUUAUUUCAAUUCACUUCUUUAAAAUGCAUUGUUAUUUGAA